GGGGAUAGAGUUCAAGGGCACAGCACCUGCCUGGCAAGCAGGACAUCUUGAGCUCAAUUCCUAGUAUCUUCC
rnacentral:tRNA from 1 species